CGUCAUCGUACUUAACAAUAAAUGUAGCUGUACUGCAUUCGUUCCAGGAAGGAAGUAAGUCGCAUACAAAAGAGAAAGAGGAAAUUACAUCUCAUAUGGAAGAGGAAGUUACACGUUUCCCCAAAACGCAGGUAUCAACUAAACAAAGCAAUCAAUGGCAAGACCGUUCGAGUGGGUGAAAUUAGAUGCCUUCCAAUGUCCGGUCACAGGAUGUCCUUCAAGGAAACCGAUUGCAUGGGAAUGCUCACGUUGCCAUAGCGCCAUGUUUUUGAAUAGCCUGGGCAAAUGGUGUGUGAAAGUGGAAAUCACUUUGGUAACAUCUGUGAAUGGAACUGGAACUGCGGCAGUUCCUAUCACAAAGGUCGGUUCCAGAGGGCGGACAUGGAGAGCUUUACGUUCGCUUUCUCUCAGGCAGUCCAGCUCAUGGGAAAGAUGGGAAGCCUCUGGGUGGCGCAUCUUAUGACGGAAAUAGAAAAGCAGUACACACGGCAGAAUGAUGGUUAUAAUUAUAACCGACGGGAUGAUGGUUAUUACUAUGAUCGGCGUGAUGAUGAUUAUUAUUAUAGCCGACGGAAUGAUGGUUAUUAUUAUGACAGACGGUAAGGUGAUGAUUAUUAUGAUUAUAGGUAGAGCCAUUGUCGUGAUUCACUAUUUUAGCCAUGUUUUAACUGGCGCUUCAUUAUUUAUUAGAACACGUUUUCCCCUUUAAAAAAAUAACGAACGUACUUUCAAAUACACAUACAAUGAAAUUUGAGUAUUGUAUAAGUUUAAUGUUUUUCAUGAUUUUGCACGUGACUCAUUUAAUUGCAUCUUUUAAGCUUUGUUAACUAUUAAAAAAUAUAUUUUGUAUAUUUGGUUUGUACUUUUGUUUGCCUUUUAAAUAAAAAUAAUACAUGUAUAAUAACUAUCAGCGAUUUGAUGGUAACAGUCUGACCGUGUACGUGUAGUAAAUUGAUGAAUAUCGUAUAAAAUGGAUAUGCUAUUGAUUGGUUGAAUGCAUGCUUGCUUUGGUUUCGAUAUAUUUUGUUGGACCAUUCAUUCAAAUAAAACAUAACAAUUGAUA